AUGAAAGACCAUUCUGAUUUUUUUGACCAUACCUUUAUUUUGAAAUCUGUACCCCGGAUGUUUUUCCCGCUGCGUCACUUGUAUUUCCGGCGGCAGCAUCAGUGGCUGCAUCUCAGUGGAGUGAUAAAAAAGCAGCACGUUUGCUCGGGAACCGGUUUUCUUUAUCUCUUCUUUUCCUUUUCUUCAGUUUGGUUGUAUCGCUCGUCUGGAGUCGGGGAGUCCUCCUUGACCACCGCGACCAUGUACGGGCCACGCAAACCCGCGCACGGCACGCCGUACGGACCCCCGCCACCACACGGCCCUCCCUUCUCCCACAGGCGGCCCUGUGGACCUGCUCCUCCCGGACACUUGCCCCCGGGACCUUUCGGACCAUUUUCGACACCAGAUAGCCAUUUUCUCCAGAACAGAGCACCAAGAGAGCGUUUCAUGAGUCCCCACUGUAGCAGCUUCUCCAUAGACCGUAGUACGGUGAUGCAGCAUGCAGAACCACCACAACUCCCAAAGUGGAAUCCCACCCCUGUGGAUCAUCAUCUUCAAGACAACAGUCAACGAGCUGGAGAGGAAUUCUUGAGAUGCAUUGCGGCUAAUAAGCCUCUCCCAGAUUAUCUAAAGGGGGACAUGGCAUACAACCUUGCUGAGGCCUUAAAGUCGGCUAAUGUCCUGAAAGAUGUAGUCAAAUCAGACCAUGAGUUCCAGAAGCAUGUGAACCGGAGCGGAAGUCGAAGCAGAAGCCGUGACAGAAGCCGUGGAAAAUCUCGUGCUAAGAGCUCUGCGCGAAGCAGGAGCCGAGUGCGCAGCCGAAGCAGAGGAAGGAGUAAAAGUCACGCUCAUGGCAAGAGUCGCGCUAGAAGCAAAAGCAGGGCAAGAAGCAAGAGCAGGGCAAGAAGCAAGAGCAGGGCAAGAAGCAAAAGCAGGGCAAGAAGCAAGAGCAGGGCAAGAAGCAAAAGCAGGGCAAGAAGCAAGAGCAGGGCCCGCAGUAAGAGUCGGAGCAGCAGCCGAAGCAGGAGGAAAAGUCGUGCACGGAGCAAGAGUCGGGUCAGGAGGUCCGAGUCACGAAGUAGCAGCAUUGAAAAGAGCCGUGCUGCCAACUGUAAUAAUUGGACAGGGAAAAGUCUGUUGCAGGGACUGAAGAUGGUCAUGAACAGCAAGGAACUGGAAGAGCGGUUGCCUACCCUCAAAGACGCCAUCUUCACUAUUCAGACGUCUGACAGCAAAAAGGUUCUGGAUGAGCAUGACGAAGCCAUGAAUUUGGCUUCUCUGGAAAACGACAGUAUGCUUCUUCCCCACGACAGAGUAGGCAGUGACUUCUCCUGGCUCCAAUCAACGAAGGAAGAGGACUCCACAGACAGGAAAGCUGAAGAACUUGAAGACGAGGAGUCGUUCCUAUAUGGGAAUGAAGGCACUGGAAGAAAACCAACCACUAAAUCCUCUACCGCCCUUUUCCCAGUGUUUUCUCAGACCGGAGAACAUUCCAAACUGCAUAAAAUGGAUGUUUCUGCUCCGAGCAGUCAACAGCAUAAUAAGAGCAUGUCCGCACUCGGUAGCUUUGGGGAUCUGCUCGACCUGAAGGUGCCUCUUCAAAUGAUUUCCUCUUUUAACCUGGACAGCGGUGAUUAUGAGAAGAUCAGGAGCAUAUUAAGAAGUCAGGGCACAGCAGACAUCAGCAAUAUCAUGGCGAAGAUGCAGGGGGAGAAGCAGCCGUCUCCUGCAGAUCCAACAGCGGCGGCCUUCGCUUUGCCAGCAAUGAAAAACCCUAAUGUACAGCAAGCUCUGGAAUCUCUACAGUCUCUGAUAAAAGCGACAAAGGAGAAGCGGGAAAAAGGUGACGGCAGUGGCACGCCUCACACCUCUGACAAACACAAGUCAAGUGACGAUGGGGAACUGAAGACAGAGAAACAGGCAAGAAUGAGUAAAAUGGAAUCUUUGAUGAAAGAAAUGGAGGGAUUGAUGAAACAGGACGGACUGAGUUUUCUGACACCAGUGGUUGGGUUUUACUGCCAAAAAUGUGAGGAGUUCAUUGGAGAUUUAAGCUCUGCUGAAAAACAUGCGGCCAUCCACCAACACACUAACUCUAGCAGUUGAACAGCUGUGAACGCACACCUAGGUAGAUUGAGGACACAUUUAAGAGACAAUCACUCAGGCCACAUUCGGAGGUGGUAAGUUAUAUAAUGAACUGAAAAUGUUUUAGCUUUUUUCAGUGUUUCACAUACACUGACACUGAUUUGUGGCUACAAUAUAAAUGUUGACUGACAUGUAUUGAUUUUGUAUUUUUAAAAUCUUAUUUCACUGUUAAUCUUCACACACACACACUGGUUAACAC
rnacentral:lncRNA from 1 species